rnacentral:rRNA from 1 species
AGCGAACGCUGGCGGCAGGCUUAACACAUGCAAGUCGAGCGGGCACUUCGGUGUCAGCGGCAGACGGGUGAGUAACACGUGGGAACGUGCCCUUCGGUUCGGAAUAACUCAGGGAAACUUGAGCUAAUACCGGAUACGCCCUUUGGGGGAAAGGUUUACUGCCGAAGGAUCGGCCCGCGUCUGAUUAGCUAGUUGGUGGGUAAUGGCCUACCAAGGCGACGAUCGAGUAGCGUGGUGU